CUGGCUCAGGAUGAACGCUAGCGACAGGCUUAACACAUGCAAGUCGAGGGGCAGCACGGUGUAGCAAUACAUUGGUGGCGACCGGCGCACGGGUGAGUAACGCGUAUGCAACCUACCUAUCAGAGGGGGAUAACCCGGCGAAAGUCGGACUAAUACCGCAUAAAACAGGGGUCCCGCAUGGGAAUAUUUGUUAAAGAUUAAUUGCUGAUAGAUGGGCAUGCGUUCCAUUAGAUAGUUGGUGAGGUAACGGCUCACCAAGUCUGCGAUGGAUAGGGGUUCUGAGAGGAAGGUCCCCCACACUGGUACUGAGACACGGACCAGACUCCUACGGGAGGCAGCAGUGAGGAAUAUUGGUCAAUGGGCGAGAGCCUGAACCAGCCAAGUCGCGUGAAGGAUGAAGGAUCUAUGGUUCGUAAACUUCUUUUAUAAGGGAAUAAAGUGCGGGACGUGUCCUGUUUUGUAUGUACCUUAUGAAUAAGGAUCGGCUAACUCCGUGCCAGCAGCCGCGGUAAUACGGAGGAUCCGAGCGUUAUCCGGAUUUAUUGGGUUUAAAGGGUGCGUAGGUGGUUUAUUAAGUCAGCGGUGAAAGUUUGUGGCUCAACCAUAAAAUUGCCGUUGAAACUGGUUAACUUGAGUAUAUUUGAGGUAGGCGGAAUGCGUGGUGUAGCGGUGAAAUGCAUAGAUAUCACGCAGAACUCCGAUUGCGAAGGCAGCUUACUAAACCAUAACUGACACUGAAGCACGAAAGCGUGGGGAUCAAACAGGAUUAGAUACCCUGGUAGUCCACGCAGUAAACGAUGAUUACUAGGAGUUUGCGAUACAAUGUAAGCUCUACAGCGAAAGCGUUAAGUAAUCCACCUGGGGAGUACGCCGGCAACGGUGAAACUCAAAGGAAUUGACGGGGGCCC
rnacentral:rRNA from 1 species